rnacentral:tRNA from 1 species
CGCGGGAUGGAGCAGUCUGGUAGCUCGUCGGGCUCAUAACCCGAAGGUCGUCGGUUCAAAUCACACAGACGCGG